rnacentral:rRNA from 1 species
UGGCUGGCGCAUGCCUUAACAUGCAGUCGAACGGUAACAGGCCUUCGGGUGCUGACGAGUGGCGAACGGGUGAGUAAUGCAUCGGAACGUGCCCGGUCGUGGGGGAUAACGCAGCGAAAGCUGUGCUAAUACCGCAUACGAUCUGAGGAUGAAAGCGGGGGACCUUCGGGCCUCGCGCGGUCGGAGCGGCCGAUGUCGGAUUAGCUAGUUGGUGGGGUAAAGGCCUACCAAGGCGACGAUCCGUAGCUGGUCUGAGAGGACGACCAGCCACACUGGGACUGAGACACGGCCCAGACUCCUACGGGAGGCAGCAGUGGGGAAUUUUGGACAAUGGGCGCAAGCCUGAUCCAGCAAUGCCGCGUGCGGGAAGAAGGCCUUCGGGUUGUAAACCGCUUUUGGCAGGAACGAAAAGCUCUGGGCUAAUACCCUGGGGUGAUGACGGUACCUGCAGAAUAAGCACCGGCUAACUACGUGCCAGCAGCCGCGGUAAUACGUAGGGUGCGAGCGUUAAUCGGAAUUACUGGGCGUAAAGCGUGCGCAGGCGGUUGUGCAAGACAGGC